UGGGGAAUAUUGGACAAUGGGCGAAAGCCUGAUCCAGCCAUGCCGCGUGUGUGAAGAAGGUCUUCGGAUUGUAAAGCACUUUAAGUUGGGAGGAAGGGCAGUAAGCGAAUACCUUGCUGUUUUGACGUUACCGACAGAAUAAGCACCGGCUAACUCUGUGCCAGCAGCCGCGGUAAUACAGAGGGUGCAAGCGUUAAUCGGAAUUACUGGGAGUAAAGCGCGCGUAGGUGGUUCGUUAAGUUGAAUGUGAAAGCCCCGGGCUCAACCUGGGAACUGCAUCCAAAACUGGCGAGCUAGAGUAGGGCAAAGGGUGGUGGAAUUUCCUGUGUAGCGGUGAAAUGCGUAGAUAUAGGAAGGAACACCAGUGGCGAAGGCGACCACCUGGGCUCAUACUGACACUAAGGUGCGAAAGCGUGGGGAGCAAACAGG
rnacentral:rRNA from 1 species